AUUGAACGCUGGCGGCAUGCUUUACACAUGCAAGUCGAACGGCAGCGGGGGCUUCGGCCUGCCGGCGAGUGGCGAACGGGUGAGUAAUGCAUCGGAACGUGCCCAUGUCGUGGGGGAUAACGUAGCGAAAGCUACGCUAAUACCGCAUACGUCCUGAGGGAGAAAGCGGGGGGAUCUUAGGACCUCGCGCGAUUGGAGCGGCCGAUGUCGGAUUAGCUAGUAGGUGGGGUAAAGGCCCACCUAGGCGACGAUCCGUAGCGGGUCUGAGAGGAUGAUCCGCCACGCUGGGACUGAGACACGGCCCAGACUCCUACGGGAGGCAGCAGUGGGGAAUUUUGGACAAUGGGCGCAAGCCUGAUCCAGCCAUGCCGCGUGAGUGAAGAAGGCCU
rnacentral:rRNA from 1 species